AGUGAACGCUGGCGGUAGGCCUAACACAUGCAAGUCGAACGGCAGCACAGGAGAGCUUGCUCUCUGGGUGGCGAGUGGCGGACGGGUGAGGAAUACAUCGGAAUCUACCUUUUCGUGGGGGAUAACGUAGGGAAACUUACGCUAAUACCGCAUAUGACCUACGGGUGAAAGUGGGGACCGGCAAGGCCUCACGCGAUUAG
rnacentral:rRNA from 1 species